UACGGAGGGUGCGAGCGUUGUCCGGAAUCACUGGGCGUAAAGGGCGCGUAGGCGGCUCGAUAAGGCUGUGGUGAAAGCCCGGGGCUCAACCCCGGGUCGGCCGUGGCGACUGUUGGGCUGGAGCACUGUAGAGGCGGGCGGAAUUCCGGGUGUAGCGGUGGAAUGCGCAGAUAUCAGGAGGAACACCAAUGGCGAAGGCAGAUCUCUGGGCCGUAACUGACGCUGAGGAGCGAAAGCAUGGGGAGCGAACAGG
rnacentral:rRNA from 1 species